GAACUCUGGUGCAAUGGGUUAUUGCAUCUGGCUGUUAACUAGAAGGUUGGUGGUUCAAGCCCACCCAGGGACA